rnacentral:lncRNA from 1 species
AUAUGGAGCUUCCCAGGCUAGGGGUCAAAUCAGAGAUGUAGGUGCCAGCCUACACCACAGCCACAGCAACAAGGGAUCCAAGCCAUGUCUGCGACUUACACCACAGCUCGCAGCAACAUCAGACCCUUAACCCACUGCGCAAGGCCAGAGACUGAACCCACAUCCUCUUGGAUACUAGUUGGGUUCAUGAGCCACUGAGCCACAAUGGGAACUCCUACAAUAAACAACUUUUAAAGUGGAGAGCUGAGGAGUUCUCGUUGUGCCUCAGUGGGUUAAGAGCCUGACAUAGUGUCUGUGAGGAUGCAGGUUCAAUCUCUGGCCUUGCUCUGUGGGUUAAGGAUCUGGCACUGCCACAAGCUGUGGCAUAGGCUACAGAUAAGCCUUGGGAUCCGGCAUUGCUGUGUCUGUGGCAUAGGCCAGCAGCUGCAUCUCCAAUUAGACCUCCAGCCCAGGAACUUCCAUAUGCUACAGGUGCGGCUGUAAAAAGAAAAAAUAAGUACACAAAUUACAUUAAAAUUUAAUUUAAAAAAAUAAAGUGGAUAGCUGAGUUGAAAAGAGAUAUCGAAACCAGAAAGGAAAGAAAAUCAAAGUGAGUAUGUGAGUACCAAUGCUUUUCUUAUCCUGCUUUUGUUAACAGGGAAUUGGCUUUUUUUUUGGGGGGGGGUCCUUUUAGGGCCACACCUGCGGCAUACAGAGGUUCCCAGGCUGGCGUCCAAUCAGAGCUGUAGCUGCUGGCCUACACCACAGCCACAGCCACAGCAACGCUGGAUCCAAGCUGUGUCUGUGACCUACACCUCAGCUCAUGGCAACACUGGAUCCUUAACCCACUGGGCAAGGCCGGGAUCGAAUCUGUGCCCUCAUGGAUGCUGGUCAGAUUCAUUUCCACUGAGCCACGAUGGGAACCCAGGGAAUUGCCCUAGUGCUAGUGGGAAGAAAAAGUCUCUCUUGAGAUUUAAUAACUACAAACCUGUUCUCACAAGUAUGGAGUUCAAAUUUCAGCUCCUUGCAACAUUCAGAAAUUAGCAUAAUAAGCUGAGAAAUAAACAUAAUACAUAGUCCUUAGCUAAUAUGAAACUUAGGGCAUCUAGUAAAAACUGAAAGAAAGUCUUUCUUGGGAAAGUUUCCUCAAGCAAAGCCAAAGUGAAGCAAAAGACCUUCUUUCAGUGGACGUUCCAUUAAAAAAAAUGCCCCCCUCAUAUAUGAACACACAACCCCAAAUUAUAAAGUGCACAAGAAAAUAAUGCACUGUGAAUAAGUGUGAACAAAAACAAUAUACCAAAUUUGAUCUCCAAACACUUCAAAACAUUGAACCAUGGGAUAGAUUCAGUAGACUGAAUUGUGAUAGACUGAGUUAUUGGCCCAGGACCGCAUCCUUGCUGGCAUCCACACCCUUGCUAUGGCUUCGUCAUAGGCAGAAGGGACUUUUACAUCCAUUAACUUAGAGCUUGGCAAGAUGCCUUGUUUGGAUCAGUGGCAUGCAGAGGAAGUGACCAUGGAUCAGUCCCUAGAUGAAGCCUUAAGAAGCCUCAUGUGUUUAUGUUUGUUCAGCAAUCAUUAUGAGAAGAUUUUCCCCUGAGUAGCUAUUGCUCCUUCAUCCAGGGCCCUAAACCAACAUUCCAGAAGCAGAGCUGAGCACAGGUCUGCAGUGAGAAGUGGAGUCAUGUCAGCUGCCAGAGUCUUAAGCAGAGGCUCCCAAGUGGGCCUAGAUCUGCAGAGCUGCCCCAGCCAAUAAACAGAUGCAUAAAUGUAGGAGAAUCAGUAAUUUUUGGAUGACCAAAACUACUGAGUUUUGGGAUGAUAUGUAUAUAAUAUAAUUAUAAAAAUAGAAAAGUUAUACAAACAAGUAUAUUUUAAAUGACUAGGAAAAAAGAAGGAAUAAAAAGUGAGAAAAAGGGUUUUUGUUUUUUUUUUUUUUUGAAUGGGGGGGGUGAGGGCUGCACCUGAAGCAUAUGGAAGUUCCCAGGCUAGGGGUCAAAUAAGAGCUGCAGCUCCUGGCUAUGCCACAGCCACAGCAACAACAGAUCCAAGCCUCAUCUGCAACCUACCAUUGCAGCUCCCAGCAACACCAGAUCCUUAACCCACUGAGCAAGGUCAGAGAUCGAACACACAUCCUCAUGGACACUAGUCAGGUUUGUUUCAACUGAGCCACAGUGGAAACUCUGAAAAAAAACAUAUUAAAAAAAAAAAUAAAGGUCCAUGUAUUUUUUUUUUUUUUUUUUGGCCACAUCCACAGCAUGCAGAAGUUUCUGGGCCAGGGAGCAGACCCUAGCCACAGCAGAAACCCAAGCCACAGCAGUGAUAAUCCUUAACUUGCUGAGCCACCAGGGAACCCAGGUGCAUGCAUUUCAGAAAAAGAACUUGGAGUUCCUGUUGUGGCUCAGCAGGUUAAGCACCUGACAUAGUGUCCAUGAGGAUGCAAGUUCAAUCCCUGGCCUCGCUCAGUGGGUUAAUGAUCCAGUAUUGCUGCAAACUGCAGCCUAGGUCACAGAUGUGGCUCAGAUCUGGUGUUGCAGUGGCUGUGGCAUAGGCCAGCAACUGUAGUUCCAAUUCGACCUCUAGCUUGCAAACUUCCAUAUGCCAGAGGUAUGUCCUUAAAAAAGACAGAAAGGAAAGAAAAGAAAAAGAACUUAAACUUAACAGAAAUAUUUUUAGAGGUUACUGAAGUUUAAAACUAAUGAAGAAUUGUCCUUCUACUCACGAAGGAUUUAUUGCUAUGAAAAAUUCCCACCCAUCAUAAACAACUUGAAAACACAGACAAAAUAUAUGAAAUAACCCCUUUGGACAAUGGGUACUAGGCAGUGAAGGACUAUGAUCUCUGAAGGGAAAUAAACAAAGAGAGCACUACAAUUGCCCCAGUUUACUGUGUGGGAACAGUUUCCUGGCUGCAGAACAGGAAAGGGGAACCCAAACAGAGACCAAUAGUCUUGCUGAAUUGAAGAGAAAGAUAUCAGAGUUCAAGGAAGUCAAGACAACUAGACUUUCUGGGGCAGAGUGCCACAGAAGAUGGAACUUCACAGAGAUCCAGAGAUCUUCAGAAAAUUCCCCUUGAGUCCAUGGUGAAACUCUGAUUCUGGGAAAGAAUCACUGGAAAACUAUGAGCUGAACAAAUCCUGGGAACAGUAUGUGUUCCCAUCUGCCAGAGUGAAAGGCCACAUAAUUCAUGGGACAUUGAAUAAAGUCCUAACAUGAGUAUCAUGUAAAAAGUAGUGGGGCUAAAUUAGCCAC